rnacentral:rRNA from 1 species
AUGGCGACGAAAGCGGCGGUGCUCGUCACGCUGCUGGCACUGAACCUGCUCUUCUUCGCCUUGGCCGACGACUGCGGGUGCCACCUGCCUAGCCCGCCGCCGCCGGCAGGGGGAGGAGGAGGGGGCGGCGGCGGCGGUGGAGGCAAGGGUGGCAGCGGGCAGUGCCCGAUCGACGCGCUGAAGCUUGGGGCGUGCGCGAACGUGCUGGGCGGGCUGAUCAACCUGCGGCCGGUGACGACGCCGAAGCAGACGUGCUGCUCGCUGCUCCAGGGGCUGGCGGACCUGGAUGCGGCCGUGUGCCUGUGCACGGCGCUCAAGGCCAACAUCCUGGGCAUCCACCUCAACGUGCCCGUCGACCUCAGCCUCCUCAUCAACUACUGCGGCAAGAACGUCCCCUCCGGCUUCCAGUGCCCCUCCUAG